rnacentral:rRNA from 1 species
UACGUAGGGGGCGAGCGUUGUCCGGAUUUAUUGGGCGUAAAGAGCUCGUAGGCGGUUUCGUAAGUCGGGUGUGAAAACCCCAGGCUCAACCUGGGGACGCCACCUGAUACUGCGAUGACUUGAGUCUGGUAGGGGAUCACGGAAUUCCUGGUGUAGCGGUGAAAUGCGCAGAUAUCAGGAGGAACACCGGUGGCGAAGGCGGUGAUCUGGGCCAGUACUGACGCUGAGGAGCGAAAGCGUGGGUAGCAAACAGG